rnacentral:rRNA from 1 species
UGCAGUGUCAACGAUGAUGCAUACAUGUUAACUAUGGAUGUUGGCUCCAACAAUUCGCAUUGGUCUCAAACCAAUGACAUGCAUUUCGAACACCAUGAGUUCGAGGUGGACGAGGAUGGUGAGGGCAUUGUCGACGCGCCGAAAGAAAGAGCGGGCAAUUACACCAACGCCGACGACAUCUUACUAUGCAAUACUUGGUUGCAAGUGUCAGGGAUCCAUCCAUUGGAGGUGAUCAAAGUAUAG